rnacentral:rRNA from 1 species
GGGGAAUAUUGGGCAAUGGGCGAAAGCCUGACCCAGCAACGCCGCGUGAGGGAAGAAGGUUUUCGGAUUGUAAACCUCUGUCGCAGAUGACGAAGGAAGUGACGGUAAUCUGUGAGGAAGCCCCGGCUAACUACGUGCCAGCAGCCGCGGUAAUACGUAGGGGGCGGGCGUUGUCCGGAAUUACUGGGCGUAAAGGGUGCGUAGGCGGCAUAUUAAGUUGGAUGUGAAAUGCCCGGGCUUAACUUGGGACUUGCAUUCAAAACUGGUAAGCUAGAGUACAGGAGAGGAAAGCGGAAUUCCUAGUGUAGCGGUGAAAUGCGUAGAUAUUAGGAGGAACACCGGUGGCGAAGGCGGCUUUCUGGACUGAAACUGACGCUGAGGCACGAAAGCGUGGGGAGCAAAC